rnacentral:ncRNA from 2 species
GGGGAAGCCGGUGGGAAUCCGGCGCUGACCUGCAACCGUGAACGGCGCCCGGUAGGCCGUGAGUCGGAGAACCC